rnacentral:tRNA from 1 species
AAGGAUUUAAGUUAAGCAAACUAAUAACCUUCAAAGUUAUAAAUAGAAGGAAAAUUCUAAGCCUUA